AUAAAGAUAAACAUUGCAUACUUCAUUGCGAAAGAAGAACCUUUCGUCAAAUUUGGUCCGCUUAUCAGACUCCACCACAAAAACAGAGUUGACAUUAAUCCCACAUACGACAAUGAUGUAAAAUGUGCGGAGAUGAUCUGUCAAAUUGCUGACAUAAUGAGAGAGAGCCUGUCAGCGAAGCUGAAAGCCGCGAAGUAUCUUGCCAUUCUAAUAGACGGAGACACUGAUAUAUCCAACACCAAAUGCGAGAUUGUCUACAUACGCUUGUUGGAGGAUGGGAAGCCAGUCAAUCUCAUGGUCGGACAACAGACCCUUGAGCACUCUCAUGCCAUUGGUGUUUUGGAUGUCACCAAGGACACAUUUCGUGCUGUUUGCCCAGAGGAGAAUCAUGGAUGAAGAGGUGCAUCUACUUCAGGGCAGAUGGUGCCUCUGAACAUGGGCCACUAUGGGGGAGUGAUUGCCCAGCUGCAGAGAGAGAGGCACAUAGGUUUGUAACUAAUAAAUGGUCUAUGAUCUAGUUUUAUUUGAUAGCAGAGAAUGUUAAACAAUACUGUGCGUGUGUGUGUGUGCGUGCACUAAGUACUGUAAUGGUAAAUACCACAGAAUUAUUGUUUUCUGUUGCACAAGAGACAUGGGUUGAAGGAGACUGAAUUGUUUGGAAGAUUCUGUUCUGACUUUCACAGACUAGAUUUGGAUCUCUUUUAGUCCCCAUUUGGACUAAUCUUCCGAGAGUCCUUAAACAUUAAAAUACAAUUUAUAAUACCAACACAUUCUCACAUAUAUACUAACAUAAAUAUUCAAUCUAAAAAAUAUUGAUUCUUCAUCUACUAUAGUCCCACAACAUUUCUAUGUAUUAUAGUUAAAUUGUUUUAAAAUAAUGUUUACAUUUAUAUAUUGAAAAGGUUUCUGGUUUGCUCAGUUAAUUUAUUCCAUUUUUUUAUUGCUCUAAAUCGAAAUGUUAUUUUGCCUAUUUCUCUUUUCUGUCUGGAUAACGCAUAGAUAGUGGACAAUCUAUUCCUAGUAUUUACGGAAUGUCUGUCUCUUACCAACUGAAUACCGUUGUGAAUAUAACUUGGCCGUUUUAAAUGUAUAUGAUGAAAUAAAAUAAGCAUGUUUUUUAAAUUUUA